UACGGAGGGUGCAAGCGUUAUUCGGAAUUACUGGGCGUAAAGAGCGUGUAGGCUGUGGCACAAGUCGGGUGUGAAAUCCCUGGGCUCAACCCAGGAACUGCGCUCGAAACUGUGUCACUAGAGUACGGGAGAGGGGUGCGGAAUUCCUGGUGUAGAGGUGAAAUUCGUAGAUAUCAGGAGGAACACCUGCGGCGAAGGCGGCACUCUGGACCGAUACUGACGCUGAGACGCGAAAGCGUGGGGAGCAAACAGG
rnacentral:rRNA from 1 species